CUUGGUCAUUUAGAGGAAGUAAAAGUCGUAACAAGGUUUCCGUAGGUGAACCUGCGGAAGGAUCAUUACAGAAAGUAAACGCGGGUCAAACCGCGAACUUCUAAACCUUUGACGAUUGACUCAUGUUGCCUCGGCGGGGUCUCCCGCCAGAGGAUACAUCAAAACUCCUGUUUUAACGGUGUUGUCUGAGCUACAAGCAACGAAUCAAAACUUUCAACAACGGAUCUCUUGGUUCUGGCAUCGAUGAAGAACGCAGCGAAAUGCGAUAAGUAGUGUGAAUUGCAGAAUUCAGUGAAUCAUCGAAUCUUUGAACGCACAUUGCGCCCCUUGGUAUCCCGAGGGGCAUGCCUGUUCGAGCGUCAUUUCACCACUCAAGCCUGGCUUGGUGUUGGGCGACGUCCCCUUUGGGGACGCGCCUCGAAACGCUCGGCGGCGUGGCACCGGCUUUAAGCGUAACAGAAUCUUUCGCUUCGAAAGUCGGGGCCCCGUCUGCCGGAAGACCUACUCGCAAGGUUGGCCUCGGAUCAGGCAGGGAUACCC
rnacentral:rRNA from 1 species